UACGGAGGAUGCAAGCGUUAUCCGGAAUGAUUGGGCGUAAAGCGUCCGCAGGUGGCUAUGUAAGUCUGCUGUUAAAGCGUGAGGCUCAACCUCAUAAGAGCAAUGGAAACUACAUGGCUAGAGUGCGUUCGGGGCAGAGGGAAUUCCUGGUGUAGCGGUGAAAUGCGUAGAUAUCAGGAAGAACACCGGUGGCGAAAGCGCUCUGCUAGGCCGCAACUGACACUGAGGGACGAAAGCUAGGGGAGCGAAUGGG
rnacentral:rRNA from 1 species